UCGGGGGAUAGCGGGAAGGCGCGCUGCGCCUCCCCGCUGUCCCCCAGCUUGUGGGGCUGGCAGCGGGGAGAAGCGCGCCUUCCCGCUGUCCCCCGA